rnacentral:rRNA from 1 species
UACGUAGGGGGCGAGCGUUGUCCGGAUUUAUUGGGCGUAAAGAGCGUGUAGGCGGCCAGGUAGGUCUGCUGUGAAAACUCGAGGCUCAACCUCGAGACGUCGGCGGAAACCAUCUGGCUAGAGUCCGGAAGAGGAGAGUGGAAUUCCUGGUGUAGCGGUGAAAUGCGUAGAGAUCGGGAGGAAUACCGGUGGCGAAGGCGGCAUCCUGGACCAUUACUGACGCUGAGGCGCGAAAGCUAGGGGAGCAAACGGG